AUAGGUUUGUCGCAAUUAAGACACACGUAUGGUAGACCUUAAAAAAAUGAAUUUAUUUUCCAAGUUUUUUGUUGUGUUUUUCUGUCUGACUGAAUAUUCCCAUUUCAAUGGAAAAGUUGAUGCUCAAAUUAUUUCGGGCGGUUUGGUUAGUCAAAUUGAAGAAUAUCCAUUUAUGAUUGGAAUCUUGUACCAUCAAGGUGUUACAGAGCGCGUUCUUAACUGUGGUGGAUCGAUUGAUUUUUUAAAAAAAUUGAUAACUUUCUAACUAUGUCACUUGUUUCGAAUACUUUAUAAAAAAAUGUUGUAAAAAAAUAUUUUUAUUUUUGAAAAGUAGCAGAGCAUGAAUUUGUCACUCAAGAAGAGCGCGCUUGCUAGGAGAUGCUAUGAAUGUGUUAUGAAUAACGCUGUUUGUAUUAGUAUGCGCUCUAUAAUACUCCGCUAUAAAACUAUCACAUCUAUCGCCAUGAUGCGCGCGCAGUGGUUGGACUCCCCCCACACCAAUUCAAUCGACAUCAUCACAGCUGUUUUUUUUGACAAGUGAAUUAGGAAAAAGAGAAUGUCAAACGCGUUCUUUUCUUGAAACAGUAAAACAAACAUGUGACAUUUUUCGUACUCCGCUUGGAAUAUUAUGGGCCGUAUGCAGAUUUUCCACAACUUGUGCUCUUCUCUCUACUUUUAUGUUUGUAAAAAUUGGAGACAGUGUCCUCGCUCAUAGUAUUCUUCUUUUACUGUACUUAACAUCUGUUGUCCUAAAUUUUGUUAUGCUCUUAUCGUGUCCCACCUACUAUGGAGAAUUGAAUGUGUUUUUGAGCGCAAUAUUUUUUGUUUACUCUAUGCUUUUCCUGGUUAUGAAUUUAUUUAAUGGAACUUGGAUUAUUGGUCAUGCAAUAUAUGAGAGAGAGGAAAUUUCGUGGCAUCCCAGUAUAGCAAUGAGAUUUUCGUUUAAAUGGAUUUGCUGGGUCUUAUAUGUUGUCAAUUUGAGUUAUUUACUUGUGAAAUUAAUGUGGAAUUCAAUCCCAUUCAAUAGAGAUAUUCACUUGGUGAAUGGUAGCGUGGUAAUUAUGACAGCAUUUUCUUUGGGAUUCAUGUCUAAAACGAUGGAUCGUGAAACGGCAGUCGACUCCAAAUGGAAAAAGAUCACUAAAAGAGUUUUUCGUUUUUUGGCGUUUUACGUACUUCUUCUCUUGUGCUUUUCGGGAAUUUUCGUAAAAGAACCCGAAGACAAUGAAGAAUCUACCGAAAAAAUGAAACAUAAUUCGUACCAUACAUAUGUCUUUCUGUUCUGGAUAUUUAUUCUUCAUAGUUUUAUAGAGGAUAACUUUCGGAACAGAGUUUCUGAAUCAUAUUGGGAGGAUAUUGAAAAAUUCCAUUCAGGCAUUCAAGAGGAAAAUCGUCUUGAAGAACGCCUGCAAACUUUACAAUUAUGAAAAGGUGAUCGCCAUUGGUUUGGAAUACAUCGGAAAUCGCGAUGCUUCCGAGGAAUUUGACUCUUUUCUCUUCAUUUUGAUACGAAACAAUGUAUAAUAAUCUAAGAGUGUUUGAAAAUACCUCAUUAUAAUUAAAAUUGAUACGAUUAAUAUUAAGCAAGCAUAGACAAACCACUUCUGGCAUCAUUAACAUGUUCGCUUUCGUAUUUUUUUAUUCCAUGGAUGUUUCUAUUUUUG